UACAGGGGGUGCAAGCGUUGCUCGGAAUUAUUGGGCGUAAAGCGCGCGUAGGCGGCCACUUAAGUCGGAUGUGAAAGCCCCUGGCUCAACUGGGGAAGUGCACCCGAAACUGAAUGGCUUGAAUGCAAAAGAGGGUCGCGGAAUUCCCGGUGUAGAGGUGAAAUUCGUAGAUAUCGGGAGGAACACCGGUGGCGAAGGCGGCGACCUGGGUUGACAUUGACGCUGAGGCGCGAAAGCGUGGGGAGCAAACAGG
rnacentral:rRNA from 1 species